UUGCCUUAAACUAAUGAGUAAGGAAAAUAACGGUUCAGGGUGACACCCGGGUCCUUGCCGCCUCGUGCAAGAGGAAUUUUUGAGUGAGUAAAGGUUGUCCUGCAGGUGACCUAUCUACUUUGUGGGAUGCUGCCGCACAGUGAUCUGUCUG